rnacentral:rRNA from 1 species
AUGAAACUCGUAAGCUGGAACUGCCGGGGACUCGGGAACGGCCCGGCAGUUCAAUCUCUUCUCGAGCUGGGAAGAACGGAGGAGCCCGACAUUUUAUUUCUGUGUGAGACUAGAAUGAAGGAGAAGGAUUUGGGAAGGUUUAGGUGGUUGUUGGGGCUCGCCAACAUGGUUGCGUGGAAGGAUGAAGGGAGUGGAAGAGGGGUGGCGUUGUUCUGGAGGAAGGGAUUCGAUGUCACUCUACGUUCAUAUGGGAGGAGGCAUGUAGAUGUAGAUGUGGUCAGGGAGGAUGGAACGAUAUGGCGCCUUACCGGGGUGUACGGAGAAUCUGAAUUGCAGAGGAAGAUAGAAAAAUGGAAGCUUCUGAAAAUUCUCAAUCAGCAACAUCAAGGACAAAGGCCGUGGUUGUGUUUUGGGGACUUCAGCGAAAUUCUAGCAAGCAAUGAGAAGGUGGGGGUGCAGAACGGCCACAGCAGUACCUUAAUGCGUCCAGGGAGGCGUUAUACUAUUGCAACUUGA